rnacentral:rRNA from 1 species
UAGCUUAGUGGCGAACGGGUGAGUAACGCGUGAGUAACCUGCCCUGGAGUGGGGGACAACAGUUGGAAACGACUGCUAAUACCGCAUAAGCCCACGGUGCCGCAUGGCACUGCGGGAAAAGGAUUUAUUCGCUUCAGGAUGGACUCGCGUCCAAUUAGCUAGUUGGUGAGGUAACGGCCCACCAAGGCGACGAUUGGUAGCCGGACUGAGAGGUUGAACGGCCACAUUGGGACUGAGACACGGCCCAGACUCCUACGGGAGGCAGCAGUGGGGGAUAUUGCACAAUGGGGGAAACCCUGAUGCAGCGACGCCGCGUGGAGGAGGAAGGUUUUCGGAUUGUAAACUCCUGUCGUUAGGGACGAUAAUGACGGUACCUAACAAGAAAGCACCGGCUAACUACGUGCCAGCAGCCGCGGUAAGACGUAGGGUGCAAGCGUUGUCCGGAAUUACUGGGUGUAAAGGGAGCGCAGGCGGACCGGCAAGUUGGAAGUGAAAUCCAUGGGCUCAACCCGUGAAUUGCUUUCAAAACUGCUGGCCUUGAGUAGUGCAGAGGUAGGUGAAAUUCCCGGUGUAGCGGUGGAAUGCGUAGAUAUCGGGAGGAACACCAGUGGCGAAGGCGACCUACUGGGCACCAACUG